rnacentral:rRNA from 1 species
UACAGAGGUCUCAAGCGUUGUUCGGAUUCAUUGGGCGUAAAGGGUGCGUAGGUGGCUGCGUAAGUCGGGUGUGAAAUCCCGGGGCUCAACCCCGGAACUGCACUCGAUACUGCGUGGCUUGAGUACUGGAGAGGAGAUUGGAAUUUACGGUGUAGCAGUGAAAUGCGUAGAUAUCGUAAGGAAGACCAGUGGCGAAGGCGGAUCUCUGGACAGUUACUGACACUGAGCACGAGGCCAGGGGAGCAAACGGG